rnacentral:rRNA from 1 species
GACGAACGCUGGCGGCGUGCCUAAUACAUGCAAGUAGAACGCUGAAGAGAGGAGCUUGCUCUUCUUGGAUGAGUUGCGAACGGGUGAGUAACGCGUAGGUAACCUGCCUUGUAGCGGGGGAUAACUAUUGGAAACGAUAGCUAAUACCGCAUAACAAUAGGUGACACAUGUCAUUUAUUUGAAAGGGGCAAUUGCUCCACUACAAGAUGGACCUGCGUUGUAUUAGCUAGUAGGUGAGGUAACGGCUCACCUAGGCGACGAUACAUAGCCGACCUGAGAGGGUGAUCGGCCACACUGGGACUGAGACACGGCCCAGACUCCUACGGGAGGCAGCAGUAGGGAAUCUUCGGCAAUGGGGGCAACCCUGACCGAGCAACGCCGCGUGAGUGAAGAAGGUUUUCGGAUCGUAAAGCUCUGUUGUAAGUCAAGAACGAGUGUGAGAGUGGAAAGUUCACGCUGUGACGGUAGCUUACCAGAAAGGGACGGCUAACUACGUG